UCUUGUGGAUGGGCAAAGAAAGUGGUUUCUUGAGAUGAAAUCUAUUUAUGGUGAAGAUGCUGUGAA
rnacentral:pre_miRNA from 4 species